AUAAUGCAGGUAUUAAACGGACA
rnacentral:siRNA from 1 species